AUUGAACGCUGGCGGCAGGCCUAACACAUGCACGUCGAACGAGUGGCGGACGGGUGAGUAAUGUCUGGGAAACUGCCUGAUGGAGGGGGAUAACUUCUGGAAACGGUAGCUAAUACCGCAUACCAUCGGAUGUGCCCAGAUGGGAUUAGCUAGUAGGUGGGGUAAAGGCUCACCUAGGCGACGAUACCUAGCUGGUCUGAGAGGAUGACCAGACACACUGGAACUGAGACACGGUCCAGACGCCUACGGGAGGCAGAAGUGGGGAAUAUUGCACAAUGGGCGCAAGCCUGAUCCAGCCAUGCCGCGUGUGUGAAGAAGGUCUUAGGAUUGUAAAGCACUUGAAGUUGGGAGGCGUUACCAACAGAAUAAGCACCGGCUAACUUCGUGCCAGCAGCCGCGGUAAUAC
rnacentral:rRNA from 1 species